AGAGUUUGAUUCUGGCUCAGAAUGAACGCUGGCGGCGUGCCUAACACAUGCAAGUCGCACGAGAAAGGCUGGGUUUCGGCUUGGCCGAGUAAAGUGGCGCACGGGUGAGUAACGCGUGGGUGACCUACCCUCGAAUCUGGGAUAACCUCGCGAAAGCGGGGCUAAUACCGGAUACGUCCCUUCGGGGAGAAAGCCGGCCUCUCGAAGAAGCUGGUGUUCGGGGAUGGGCCCGCGUCCUAUCAGCUAGUUGGUAGGGUAACGGCCUACCAAGGCGACGACGGGUAGCUGGUCUGAGAGGAUGAUCAGCCACACUGGCACUGGAACACGGGCCAGACUCCUACGGGAGGCAGCAGUGAGGAAUUUUGCGCAAUGGGAGCAAUCCUGACGCAGCAACGCCGCGUGGGUGAAGAAGGCCUUCGGGUCGUAAAGCCCUGUCAGGAGGGAAGAACCUCGCUGGGGCGAAUAGCCUUGGCGACUGACGGUACCUCCAGAGGAAGCACCGGCUAACUCCGUGCCAGCAGCCGCGGUAAUACGGAGGGUGCGAGCGUUAUUCGGAAUUACUGGGCGUAAAGCGCGUGUAGGCGGCAGGGCAAGUCUGGUGUGAAAGCCCGGGGCUCAACCCCGGAAGUGCAUUGGAAACUGCUCUGCUUGAGUACCGGAGAGGAAGGGGGAAUUCCCGGUGUAGCGGUGAAAUGCGUAGAUAUCGGGAGGAAUACCAGUGGCGAAGGCGCCCUUCUGGACGGUUACUGACGCUGA
rnacentral:rRNA from 1 species